rnacentral:rRNA from 1 species
AUCAGCAGCUAGCUCACUGCAACAUGAUCAUCCACUGAAGCUAAGCGGGGCUGCACCCGGUCAGUACCUGGAUGGUAGACCACAUGGAAAAGCUAGGUUGCUGCCUAAA